GAGCCGCAGUAUUCUGACUGUGCUAAGGUAGCAUAAUCAUUAGUCUUUUAAUUGGGGACUGGUAUGAAUGGCUAAACGAGAGAUCAGCUUUUUUUGUUGUAAAAAUUGAACUUAAUUUUUUAGUGAAAAAGCUAAAAUAUUUCAGAAAGACGAGAAGACCCUAUAGAGUUUUAUAUAAAAAAAAAUUAGAUCUUAAUAGAUUUUUUUUGACUUAAUUUUUAAAUAUAUUUUGUUGGGGCGACAUUAAGAUAUAAGAAACUCUUUAUUUUAUAAACUUUUAUGAAAGAAUAAUUUGAUCCUCUAUAAGAGAUCAAAAGAAAAAAUUACCUUAGGGAUAACAGCGUAAUCUUUUUUGAGAGUUCUAAUCGACAAAAAGGUUUGCGACCUCGAUGUUGGACUAAAAUUUAGGCAGGGUGCAGCAGUUCUGCUUUAGGGUCUGUUCGACCCAUAAUAUUUUACAC
rnacentral:rRNA from 1 species